GACGAACGCUGGCGGCGUGCUUAAUACAUGCAAGUCGAGCGAGGCUCAACCGGUGGCAACACCGGGGACGGCCGAGCGGCGAACGGGUGAGUAUCACGUGAGGAACCUGCCCCGAAGUCUGGGAUAACACCGGGAAACCGGUGCUAAUACCGGAUGCCCCUGCCGGACCGCAUGAUUCGGUAAGGAAGGUUUACUGCUUCGGGAGGGCCUCGCGGCCUAUCAGCUAGUUGGUGAGGUAACGGCUCACCAAGGCGACGACGGGUAGCUGGUCUGAGAGGACGAUCAGCCACACUGGGGCUGAGACACGGCCCAGACUCCUACGGGAGGCAGCAGUAGGGAAUCUUGCGCAAUGGGCGAAAGCCUGACGCAGCAACGCCGCGUGGGGGAUGAAUGCUUUCGGGUUGUAAACCCCUUUCAGCAGGGACGAUACUGACGGUACCUGCAG
rnacentral:rRNA from 1 species